rnacentral:rRNA from 1 species
AACGAACGCUGGCGGCAUGCCUAACACAUGCAAGUCGAACGAGACCUUCGGGUCUAGUGGCGCACGGGUGCGUAACGCGUGGGAACCUGCCCUUAGGUUCGGAAUAACUCCCCGAAAGGGGUGCUAAUACCGGAUAAUGUCUUCGGACCAAAGAUUUAUCGCCUUUGGAUGGGCCCGCGUUGGAUUAGCUAGUUGGUAGGGUAAAAGCCUACCAAGGCGACGAUCCAUAGCUGGUCUGAGAGGAUGAUCAGCCACACUGGGACUGAGACACGGCCCAGACCCCUCCGGGAGGCAGCAGUGGGGAAUAUUGGACAAGGGGCGAAAGCCUGAUCCAGCAAUGCCGGGUGGGUGAUGAAGGCCUUAGGGUUGUAAAGCUUUUUUACCCGGGAUGAUAAUGACAGGACCGGGAGAAUAAGCCCCGGCAAACUCCGG